CAUCCCGAUGAAUCUGGCAAGGAAGCAUGGCAAAUCCCCAGCCCAGCUAUGCGUAGCUGGAGCAUUCAGAUGAGGAUCUGUACCUGAUUUUCAG
rnacentral:lncRNA from 1 species